rnacentral:misc_RNA from 1 species
AGCAGCCGCGGUAAUUCCAGCUCCAAUAGCGUAUAUUAAAGUUGCUGCAGUUAAAAAGCUCGUAGUUGAAUUUCGGGAUCAAUAUGUUGGUCGUGCCUCGGUACGUACUAGCUUAUUGGUUUCUUCCUUCUGACGAACCAUAAUGUCAUUUAUUUGGUGUUAUGGGGAAUCAGGACUGUUACUUUGAAAAAUUAGAGUGUUUAAAGCAGGCUCACGCUUGAAUACAUUAGCAUGGAAUAAUGAAAUAGGACGUUUGAUUCUAUUUUGUUGGUUUCUAGGAUCGACGUAAUGAUUAAUAGGGAUAGUUGGGGGCAUUAGUAUUCAAUUGUCAGAGGUGAAAUUCUUGGAUUUAUUGAAGACUAACUACUGCGAAAGCAUUUGCCAAGGAUGUUUUCAUUAAUCAAGAACGAAAGUUAGGGGAUCGAAGACGAUCAGAUACCGUCGUAGUCUUAACCAUAAACUAUGCCGACUAGGGAUCGGAUGAUGUUAAUUUUUAAUGACUCAUUCGGCGUACCCG